ensembl:antisense
GUGUGAGCAAGUGAAAUUGGAAAGAAACAGGCACAUGGGCAGCCACAGGGCAUUCGGGCUCUUUUGAAGUGCUGUGGUCUCAGCAAGGGAUGUUAGCCUGUGAGUCGAGCCUUUCUCAGUAAUGUUAAUUAUACAUGCUAGUUAUUUCUGCUAAAACGUGAUUUUAAACCUCAAAUCUACUUAUGAAAUCAUACUAACACAUGGGAAAUCAUGCUUUCAUGGUCUGCUUUACUUAAAAAUAAGGAAGCAGGAAGGUAAUGUAGGACUGAGCAUUUCUUUAAUGAAACCACGCUUGGUGAUCCCGCCUGACAUGCAGCAUCUCAGGUGCUUAAGACAGAAGAACAGGAAAUCAAAACUAGUCACCACCGGGUGUUCUCUGAGCACAGGCUUUCCUCCUCCCCAUCUCCCAGCAGGAGGCGCAGAGCUCCUGGGAUCACACUGACAAUCCCCCCUGUUCUGAGGCUCAACUGGACUACGCUGCACAUAAGUGCAUAUACAUGUGAACCAAUGUAGCGCCUCUACUUUCCUUGCUUUGCAAGACCUUCUGCAGCCUGUCAAAAGAUUUCCUGAUGAUGACGGCACAAUGCAAAGUCACGGGUGUUCCCUGAGCAGUCUGCAGCAGUUCUUUCUAGCUCCAAAUUUUCAGAUAACCCACUUGCUCUAGAUUUCCUGAGGGAUCUGACAACAGCAAUGUGAAAGCUAGUAACAGCAAGCUUCCCCAGCCAAGGGGCUGUGUGAGCUUUCAUCACAGCCUGUCUCUGGCAUGGUCAGCCAAGCCACCCCUAAGCCUAGAUCUGCAUUGCACAUCCAAAUGGGCUUCUCUCCGCCUCCUGCCCAGCCCUCCCCCGCUCCCUGUACGCCGGACCCGCCCACCCGCAGAGUUCCUGGAUUUGCAAGUCUAGGCUGCACCCGGGACCAACCUUCAUGUUAAGCGCGAAGAACAAGCCACACUGUCCCAACUUUGAGAACGCCGCAGAGUUUGGAGAAUCACAAAUGUAAAAUGAACCCGGAAGCACAGAGAGCAGAGUCCUGUCUAGCGGGGUCAUACAUAAAGAGAGAGACUACAUUUCCCAGAAGUCUACGCGAAGGACUACCCGGAACCAAAGAAGGCAAAGAAUUUAAAGCGCAUGGAUUGUAUGUAACUGGAAUUAGGCUGCUUUUAAAAAUCCCAAAUUUACAAAGGGCAUUUUGGGAAUAUGAGUCCAGCCUUUAGCGGUAAUAUGUAUUAGAUUUACUUCUUACUCUGAUCAAUGCUGUGACUUAAAAAGCUCAGGGGUACCUAGAAUCUUAUGGGGGGCAGAAAAAAAAUCACAUUGAGUCAAUUUUACUUUAAAAUAACGGAGCAAGAAGCUACUUUAGGGCACACCACAAACUCUUUAGGAUAGUUUUUGAAACCAAGUUUCCUGGAAAUAUUCUGAAAUCUCAGCUACUCUGGGGUUUGAGACAGAAGAAUCACAAGUCUAUGUCCCAAAUUACACAGUACCAAAAGAGAUGGGGGCUACUCACUGGUGAAACACUUGUCUGAAGUAAAGGAGGCCUUGGUUUAACAUCCAUUAUGACACUAAAUC